rnacentral:tRNA from 1 species
GCCGGCAUAGCUCAGUUGGUAGAGCAGCUCACUCGUAAUGAGCAGGUCGUCGGUUCAAGUCCGACUGUCGGCU